AUUCUUAGGAGGCGCCUGCUGAGGAAUGCAAGGGUGAGUUGUUUUGACGUCUGUAACUAGCUUCCAACCGGUUCCACGAGAGAAAGCGGGCGGAGGCAGAGAAAUCACAACAUGCUACGAAGCGCUGGAUCCAGACUAUGGAAAUGAUGUUAGACAAAAAGCCAAUUCGAGUGAUUUUCUUUUUUGAGUUCAAAAUGGAUCAUAAAGCAGCAGAGACAACUUGCAACGUCAACAAUGCAUUUGGCUCAGGAACUACUAAUGAAUGUACAGUGCAGUGGUGGUUCAAAAAGUUUUGCAAAGGAGACGAGAACCUUGAAGCUGAGGAGCAUAGUGGCCGGCCAUUGGCAGUUGACAAGGGCCAGUUGAGAGCAACCAUCAAAGCUGAUCCUCCUACAGCUACAUGAGAAGUUGCCGAAGAACUCAACAUCAACCAUUCUACAGUUGUUCAGCAUUAGCAGCAAAUUGGAAGUGACAAAGCUUGAUAAGCAAAAAUUUAAAAAAUCAUUGUUUUAAAGUGUUGUCUCCCCUUAUUCUAUGCAACAAUGAACCAUUUUUUGGUUGGAUUGUGACGUGCAACAAAAAAUGGAUUUUACACAAUGACCAGCAAUGACCAGCUCUGUGGUUGGACCAAGAAGAAGCUCCAAGGCACUUCCCAAAGUCAAACUUGCACCAAAAAAACGUCAUGGUCAUUGUUUGGUGGUCGGCUGCCAGUCUGAUCCACUACAGCUUUCUGAAUCCUGGUGAAACCAUUAAAUCUGGGAAGUCUGCUCAGCAAAUCGAUGAGAUGCACCAAAAACUGCAACAUCUGCAGCUGGCAUUGGUCAACAGAAAGAGCCCAAUUCUCCAUGACAAUGCCUGACCGCACAUUUCACAACCAACCCUUCAAAAGUUGAACAAAUUGGGCCACGAAGUUUUGCCUCAUCCACUAUGUUUACCUGACCUCUUGACAACUGAAUUACCACUUCUUCAAGCAUCUUAACAACUUUUUGCAGGGAAAAUGCUUCCACAACCAGCAGGAUGCAGAAAAUGCUUUCCAAGAGUUCUUUGAAUUCCAAAGCACGAUUUGUAUGGUACAGGAAUAAACAAACUUAUUUCUUGUUGGCAAAAAUGUGUUGAUUGUAAUGGGUCCUGUUUCUGAUUAAUAAGGAUUUGUUUGAGCCUAGUUAUAAUGAUUUAAAAUUCAUGGCCCGAAACUGCGAUUACUUUUCCACUAACCUGGCAAAAACCUGGCUCUGGGCAUGUUGUUCUCAUGGCAAAGGGCAGGGCCAGACCUCUUCACUGCUGCUUCUUGGGUUGGUGGUAAUGACAUUGGAAUGUCUGUAUCCCCAGGGUCCAGCACUCACUGGUCUCUUGCACUGCAUAAGCACUUACUCCUGGAAAGCUCACCCAGGACCAUGGCUUCUGUUCCCUCUACAGCUGAUGGCUUCUGAGUGCAGGCCUCAAACUCAUAUCCUCUGGUCACCCUCAGCUCCACUCGGGUAAUUCGAGAACAUCAGAAACCGCACAAGCCCCAACCAGACUCAGCAUUCAUGGUCUGCACCCUGCCCUCCCAGUCCGGGAAUGGCAUCAUCCUUCGAAAGGUUGCUCGCCUCCAAAAUAGAAAUUGCUCCUGAUUCUCCUCUACCUUGGAAACAGUUCCAGAAUACAGCUACCUCUUGUCGAUCUGGGCCACACUCAGGUCUCAGCCACCCAGCCUAUCACCUGUCUCCUCAAGUCUCCUUUUGGUCCCCUUUGGUGUUUCUCUGUGCAGCAGGCAGAGUGAGCUUCCAAAUAUAUGAUUUAUACUCCAGACACACCAGUGGUUUCUCAUAUCACAGUUAAACUCUGAAUUCCUUGUUGUGAGGUAGACCCUCUAUGAUUUGUCCCGUGUGGUCAGAUCUCAUUGCUGCCCGGUUGUCCGUCCUGUGCUCAGCUCUGCCCUCACUGGCCAUGUGGCGACAGGUCCAGAAUCCUCAUGCCCCUGUCUGGACUUCUUUUCCCCAAGCUCUUUGCAAGGGGAGGCCUUCUGCAACCCGUCAUCAGAAAGAGCAUCACCGUUGCUCUUGUCUUCCUACCUGCUUUACUUUCUUCAUCUCCAUGAUUAUUCUCUGAAGCUACAUGACUGAUUAUCUUGUUGUCAUUUCUUCCCCACUGUAACAGAAGCCCCAGAAAACCAGGCAUAUCGUCUUGUUUACUUCUGUAACUCUAGCCCCUGAAAGUAUGGCUAGCAGAGUAGGGACUCUGUAAGUAUAUUUUGAAUGAACAAAUAAAUGAAUUGAUAAAUA